UACGGAGGGGGCUAGCGUUGUUCGGAAUUACUGGGCGUAAAGCGCGCGUAGGCGGAUCUGCAAGUCGGGGGUGAAAUCCCGAGGCUCAACCUCGGAACUGCCUUCGAUACUGCGGGUCUCGAGUCCGGGAGAGGUGAGUGGAAUUCCUAGUGUAGAGGUGAAAUUCGUAGAUAUUAGGAAGAACACCAGUGGCGAAGGGUGGCUCACUGGCCC
rnacentral:rRNA from 1 species